UCGGAUAUAGUGUAACGGCUAACAUUGCCGCCUCUCAAGUACUUCGCGGUAGCUCGGGGUUCGAUUCCCCGUAUCCGAA
rnacentral:tRNA from 1 species